AACGAACGCUGGCGGCAUGCCUAACACAUGCAAGUCGAACGAGACCUUCGGGUCUAGUGGCGCACGGGUGCGUAACGCGUGGGAACCUGCCCUUAGGUUCGGAAUAACUCCCCGAAAGGGGUGCUAAUACCGGAUAAUGCCUUCGGACCAAAGAUUAUCGCCUUUGGAUGGGCCCGCGUUGGAUUAGCUAGUUGGUAGGGUAAAAGCCUACCAAGGCGACGAUCCAUAGCUGGUCUGAGAGGAUGAUCAGCCACACUGGGACUGAGACACGGCCCAGACUCCUACGGGAGGCAGCAGUGGGGAAUAUUGGACAAUGGGCGAAAGCCUGAUCCAGCAAUGCCGCGUGAGUGAUGAAGGCCUUAGGGUUGUAAAGCUCUUUUACCCGGGAUGAUAAUGACAGUACCGGGAGAAUAAGCUCCGGCUAACUCCGU
rnacentral:rRNA from 1 species